rnacentral:rRNA from 1 species
GACGAACGCUGGCGGCGUGCCUAAUACAUGCAAGUCGAGCGAAUGACGAGAAGCUUGCUUCUCUGAUUCAGCGGCGGACGGGUGAGUAACACGUGGGCAACCUGCCCUACAGAUCGGGAUAACUCAGGGAAACCUGGGCUAAUACCGGAUAAUCCUUCGAAUCACAUGUUUUGAAGUUGAAAGGAGCUUCGGCGUCACUGUAGGAUGGGCCCGCGGUGCAUUAGCUAGUUGGUGGGGUAACGGCCUACCAAGGCAACGAUGCAUAGCCGACCUGAGAGGGUGAUCGGCCACAUUGGGACUGAGACACGGCCCAAACUCCUACGGGAGGCAGCAGUAGGGAAUCUACCACAAUGGACGAAAGUCUGAUGGAGCAACGCCGCGUGAGUGAUGAAGGUUUUCGGAUCGUAAAACUCUGUUGUAAGGGAAGAACAAGUACGUUAGGAAAUGAACGUACCUUGACGGUACCUUAUUAGAAAGCCACGGCUAACUACGUGCCAGCCGCCGCCGUAAGAC